UGCGUAGGCGGUUGCCUAAGUCAGAUGUGAAAUCCCCGGGCUUAACUCGGGUGGUGCAUUUGAAACUGGGCGGCUAGAGUGCAGGAGAGGGAAGCGGAAUUCCUAGUGUAGCGGUGAAAUGCGUAGAUAUUAGGAGGAACACCAGUGGCGAAGGCGGCUUUCUGGACUGUAACUGACGCUGAGGCACGAAAGCGUGGGGAGCAAACAGGAUUAGAUACCCUGGUAGUCCACGCUGUAAACGAUGGAUACUAGGUGUAGGGGGCGUAGAGCCUUCUGUGCCGCAGCUAACGCAAUAAGUAUCCCGCCUGGGGAGUACGGCCGCAAGGUUGAA
rnacentral:rRNA from 1 species